rnacentral:rRNA from 1 species
GAUGAACGCUGGCGGCGCGCCUAACACAUGCAAGUCGAACGAUUGAAGCACCUUCGGGUGUGUAUAAAGUGGCGAACGGCUGAGUAACACGUGGGCAACCUGCCCCUCUCAUUGGGAUAGCCACGGGAAACCGUGGAUAAUACCGAAUACUUCGGGACUUCCGCAUGGAAGACUCGAGAAAGCUCCGGCGGAGAGGGAUGGGCCCGCGGCCUGUUAGCUUGUUGGUGGGGUAAUGGCCUACCAAGGCAAUGAUGGGUAGCUGGGUUGAGAGACCGACCAGCCAGAUUGGGACUGAGACACGGCCCAGACUCCUACGGGAGGCAGCAGUGCGGAAUCUUGCACAAUGGGCGAAAGCCUGAUGCAGCGACGCCGCGUGCGGGAUGAAGGCCUUCGGGUUGUAAACCGCUUUCAGCAGGGACGAGGCGAAAGUGACGGUACCUGCAGAAGAAGCCCCGGCUAACUACGUG